rnacentral:rRNA from 1 species
CCCCGUAUACGAAGGUUUGAUGAGGAACUAGGCACGCGAACAAGUAGGCCGGGACACGUGAAAUCCUGGUUGAAGAUGGGUGGACCAUCAUCCAAGGCUAAAUACUACUUACUGACCGAUAGUGAACCAGUACCGUGAGGGAAAGGUGAAAAGAACCCCGGAGAGGGGAGUGAAAUAGAAUCUGAAACCGUUUGCGUACAAGCAGUGGGAGCAUGGUUUAGGCUGUGUGACUGCGUACCUUUUGUAUAAUGGGUCAGCGAGUUACUUUCAGUGGCGAGGUUAACUGCAUAAGGGAGCCGUAGAGAAAUCGAGUCUGAAUAGGGCGAUAGUCGCUGGGAGUAGACCCGAAACCGGGCGAUCUAGCCAUGUGCAGGAUGAAGGUUGGGUAACACCAACUGGAGGUCCGAACCGGGUAAUGUUGAAAAAUUAUCGGAUGACGUGUGGCUAGGAGUGAAAGGCUAAUCAAGCCCGGAGAUAGCUGGUUCUCCCCGAAAGCUAUUUAGGUAGCGCCUCGUGAAUGAUUACUGGGGGUAGAGCACUGUUUCGGCUAGGGGGCUGUCAUGGCUUACCAAACCGAUGCAAACUCCGAAUACCGGCUAAUUGGAUCACGGGAGACACACGGCGGGUGCUAACGUCCGUCGUGGAGAGGGAAACAACCCAGACCGCCAGCUAAGGUCCCCAAGUACUAGUUAAGUGGGAAACGAUGUGGGAAGGCAUAGACAGCCAGGAGGUUGGCUUAGAAGCAGCCACCCUUUAAAGAAAGCGUAAUAGCUCACUGGUCGAGUCGGCCUGCGCGGAAGAUGUAACGGGGCUAAAACUAGUCACCGAAGCUGCGGAUGUGCGCGAAGGCGCACGUGGUAGGGGAGCGUUCUGUAGGCUGAUGAAGGUGCAUUGAGAGGUGUGCUGGAGGUAUCAGAAGUGCGAAUGCUGACAUGAGUAACGAUAAUGUGGGUGAAAAGCCCACACGCCGGAAGUCCCAGGUUUCCUGCACGACGUUAAUCGGAGCAGGGUGAGUCGGCCCCUAAGGCGAGGCUGAAGAGCGUAGUCGAUGGGAACCAGGUUAAUAUUCCUGGACUUUUUAUAAGUGGUGAAGUGGGGACGAAGAAGGCUAGGUGAGCCAGGCGUUGGUUGUCCUGGUACUUGCAUGUAGGGGGGAAGACUUGGCAAAUCCGGUUUUCCGAUACUCUGAGGUGCGAAGUGGUUCUGACCUUUUGGUACAGAGAAGUCAUUGAUGCCCGGCUUCCAGGAAAAGCUGCUAGCCAUAACUUAUAGAGAACCGUACCGCAAACCGACACAGGUGGACAGGUAGAGAAUACUAAGGCGCUUGAGAGAACUCGGGUGAAGGAACUAGGCAAAAUGGUACCGUAACUUCGGGAGAAGGUACGCCCUUUCUGGUGAUGGGAUUUACUUUCAGAGCUGGAGAGGGCCGCAGAGACCAGGUGGCUGCGACUGUUUAUUAAAAACACAGCACUCUGCAAAUUCGUAAGAAGACGUAUAGGGUGUGACGCCUGCCCGGUGCCGGAAGGUUAAUUGAUGGGGUUAUCU